GGAUUCUGUCGGGUUGAGGGGCUCCCCCUGACAAAAAGGAGACCACCUUUGGGUCAAACACCUCCUCCUUGCUGGUCCGAUGCAUAAACACCCUCACAUCUAUUGACCAAGAUUUCAGGACAGACCACUCAGGCAAGAGGUCAGUUGGGCACCCUAGUGGGUUCCCCAUAGGAAAGAACUGAGAUGCCUUUGAGGAAGACUGGGAAGCUUUGAUCUCCCACGCCCCCAGCUGACUGUAGCUUCCUGAGGCCCAGCUGCCAGGGGCAGCCUCAGGAUACACAGAGGGUUUUCUCCUCCUCUCUCAGGGGCUCGCCCUACCUGGUCUGGUGCCCCACCCCUUCUUCACAUGGCCAUCACCCUGGUACCAGGGCUCCAGGCCCAGAGCCACACCACCAUGAACCCCAUGCCUCUGGACAAGUGUAUUUUAUAAAGCAAGUGUCAUCCAUGUGAAGACAGAGACUUCAAAAUAAGUCACCAGUGCGCCUGUGAUCCUGCAAAUUGAUGGGCUGUUUGGAAGUGGCUUCUCCAGAGACAUGGGAUGGUUGUCUGCCACUGUCUGGGCAGAAGCUGCAAAGCUUCUUGAAAAGACUGUCCAAAAAUCCUCCAUUCCACAAGUCACCUGCCUGCUGCCUGGGAUUCUUUAUGGAAGUGUUUCGGUUGAAGGUGACUCUCGAGAGCCCACAGCAAGAGGAUCUGGAGAGAUUGUGAUGAGCUGAGCUGGAAGACAGUGGAGGUAGUAAGGAUCAAAAGAUUCUCUGAGGAAUGAGACUUAAGAAGAGAAGUCUUGCCACCUGCUUCCAGGAUGAAGUCAGGAAGGGUACUGGACAGUCAAUAGGUUCUGAAAGCUUUGGGGAAGAGCCAAGUUCAUGUGAAAAGCACUAAUAAAAAAGCUG
rnacentral:lncRNA from 1 species